CUUGUAUUGAACAUAUGGUGUUUUAGAGUGUGACAUAUGUACAUGAAUUUGAGUAUGAUGCUCUCUAUUUGCAGGUCACGUAUAUUCGAUAUGUUGCACUCAGUUCCUAAGUUUGGAGUUUACCACAUAUUUCUUUGUUUUACAGCUUGAUUCCGGUCUGUUAAUGUCUACUGGUUUGACGUUUCUUAGUUACUGCUUGGAUAUUUUGCUUUGGGUCUUCGGUUCAGAAGGCAAAGAAGAG